UACGGAGGGUGCAAGCGUUGCUCGGAAUUAUUGGGCGUAAAGGGCAGGUAGGUGGUCUCAUUUGUCUGGGGUGAAAUCCUUGGGCUUAACUCAAGAAGUGCCCCAGAAACGGUGAGACUAGAGUGCUGGAGAGGGUCGUGGAAUUCCCGGUGUAGCGGUGAAAUGCGUAGAGAUCGGGAGGAACACCAGAGGCGAAGGCGGCGACCUGGACAGUUACUGACACUCAACUACGAAAGCGUGGGGAGCAAACAGG
rnacentral:rRNA from 1 species